rnacentral:rRNA from 1 species
UACGUAGGGUCCGAGCGUUGUCCGGAGUUACUGGGCGUAAAGCGCGCGCAGGCGGCGGUGUUGGCCCGGCGUGAAAGCCCCCGGCUCAACCGGGGAGAGUCGUCGGGGACCGCACCGCUUGAGGGCGGUAGCGGCUGGUGGAAUGCCUGGUGUAGUGGUGAAAUGCGUAGAGAUCAGGCAGAACACCUGGGGCGAAGGCGGCCAGCUGGGCCGUCCCUGACGCUGAGGCGCGAAGGCGUGGGGAGCGAACGGG